UGUUAAGGUGUUACCGGCAUCAGUGAAA
rnacentral:piRNA from 1 species